GAGAAUUACUUGACCUCCAAAUUCCCAAAUCAUUUUUAUUCAUAUAUAAGACUAACAUUUGAAAGAAAGAGCUUAAAAUUGUUUCAAAAUAAACGCCCACUACAAAAGUGACUCUACUGCAGAUUUGAUGGAUAAUUUGAUCAAAGGUUUUAGUAUCACGUUGGACAUUUUCACCUCUUGAAGGCCCUUUAUUAGGCAUUUAGAAGAAGUGUAUAAUGUGCUUCCAUAAGAGCAC
rnacentral:lncRNA from 1 species